CUCCGGGUGUCUGCACACGCCAAGUGGAAUCCCCUCUGGGUGACACCGUUUCCUUUAUGUGUAGGAAGGGUUGGGUGGGAAAGGUUAGGACCACGGUGCUCAAUCUGUGCUCAGAGCUCGCAAGAGGGACCAAGAGACCUGAACUUACAUCUCCAUCACUGCAUUCACAUGAGUUACAAGAGAAUGCAGAGCACGGGUCUGUGCCUGGGUAUCUCACGUGACAGCAUCUCUUUUUCUGGACUUUCUUGAAGGUGGGUCUGGUACACAUGUGUAUCUUCGGGGGGGAGUAGGGUUUUGUUGUUGUUUAUCUGUCACAAAGUAUUUGAAAGUUUUGGUUUUGUGCUAACAUGAAGCAGGAAAUGUUGGGGAGUGACUAAAUAAUUUGCUUACUGGGAAGCAGAGACUAGGAUGCAGACCUUGGCACAGAUUCCCAUGCAAUAUAAAAGAACAGCUGUAGAAAGAAAUGUUAAAAGUGUGAAUGAGAUAAAGAUACUUAGUCCCAACAGAUUCGUGUGAGAACAGCUUUUGUGGAAUUGAAGCAUGAGAAGGGUCCCAGAAUGGACUGGGAGGAUCGCAGUUGUGGCUUUAAAUGCUGGUUUUGGAGAGCGUAUGUGGUAAACAAAGAGAAAUGGGGGGGUGGAGGGGGACUUUUUAAAAUGAUGCAUAAGAGCCUGGUUUAAAAUGUUAAUGAUGUGGGAGAUUAGAGCAUCACUCUGUUCAGAUAGCCUUCGAGGCAAGCUACAAGAUUGAAAAUGAGUUGGAGAGAAAUUGGUACUAACAGUAGCCAGUCACAGUCAUGUCACAUUAUGGUAUUAACGUUCUGAGUACCAGCAAACACAGGUUCAUUUUGAAGAAUAAUUGGUGGGAGAUGCUGACUGUCCAGAAAAAGCAGGCCUCUUUGUAGCCUGAGGAUUUUGUGUUUAACACUUUAGUCUGAAUCUUUUAUUUUACUUCAUCAUGUUCUUUGAUGACUCUUUUGAAUUAACUGCUUUUUACCCACUGCUGUAUAUAUUAGAGUUAACACUUGCAGGGAACUUCUGUGUCAUAUCUGGGGUUUCUACUCUCCGCAUUUUCUUUACUGAACAUUUGGGAGCAGAUCAGCUCAUGCAGUUGCCAAACUCUUAACCGUGUCCAGAAUUUGGAGAUUAUUUUUCUUCCAUUUCCCAGAAUAAUCUGUUGGGCAGCGUUUUCCACUCCUGGCUGCUUUUACAUAGUGUGUGCCCUUCAGGAUAAUGCUCUGGAACCCCACCAUGGCCUUGUUAGCUAAUUGAAGAGUCUAGAAGAAAAUGUGAUCUGUAAAAGUUACAAAUCAAUAGAGGUGGAGGAAAAGAAUUAUUUGUAGUCUUAGAAAACAGUUUGCCCACAGAAAGAAAAAUCUCACCUCGUUAGUAAGGAAGAGUUUUACCAUGAGUUAUGGCAUUUACUCAUUAGACAACAAUGACUGUGUAAAUGAUCACUCGAGGGAUUUGUGAACACUGUAGAGAGAGAAACUGUCUCCACCACCCAUCCAGUACGAGGCUGAAGUGGCAGUACUGCCCUUUCCGAGAAUUUCCAUCCACCAUUCCAGUCUCAUACCAUUCAUUUCACCCACUGUGAAUUAGGACUAGUAGCAAAGCCUUUCUGGAUUUCUAGCCCCCAUGCUGACCUUGGGGUACUCCUUUAACCAUUCCACCCAUCCAAAAUUAGACCAGCGUGGCAGCAUCAUUCCUCAUAAGGAUUUUCAGGCCGCCCCCAAGUCUUUGAUCUACCACCAAAGACAUGCUUUUUUACGUAUUACUACCAAAGGAUGGAUUUACAGAAAUAUGUAGCAUUUUGAUCUUCCUGUCCUUCCUUAUUCACAUCAGCAGUCCCCAGCGUGUUGCUCACAUUUUUAAUGUUACAUACAAUAGUGGCAGGACAACCGCCUGUUCUCUGUCCUUGCCAUUGUGGUUUCCAUGGGCUGUUGAGUUUUGAAUGGGCUCACGUGAGUGAGAAUCUCCUUAUAGCAGGAAAAAGUAGAGCGGUGAUUUAAAUAUUGCUCCUGAUUUUUCAGUAAACUGAUAUGUUACAGCAUACUUCUGCAUAAUAGCAGGCAUCUGUCUUUCUGGCUGUAAUGUAAGCUAUUAAGAAAUAAUAAAAUUGAAGUAAUUGUUUCAAAGACCGCAAUAAAAUAGCGAUGGCACUAAGAUCUCUUUCUCGGGCGUUGGUAAUCCAAGUGUAAGUGGUGGGGUGCAACAGCCAGUCUAACAGUACUGCUGCUAUGGACUGGAUUUGGGGUGUUGCUGCAGCACUGCACUAAUCUGCCAGUACACAGGCCUUCAUCUUGUUUCUUCCUACUUCAGGUUAUAAACUAAUUCAAAAUUCUGUUUAUAUGAUAGUUAGAGUGACACCCAGUUCGCUCUUGUAGUCUGUUUUUCUUUUAAAAUAACUUGGGUAAUCAUGAUGCACUUGAUGGCAGAUUACAUGAAGAAUGUGAUGUUUUGUCCAUUUCAUGACAAUGCUGUGAUAAAAAAUAACAUCUCUGAUCCAUGAAGGUGGCAGGAGAUACCAUGAAACCCAUGCCACAAUGAUACAAUUCAUCAGUAUGUCUUGUUUCAGUGAAGAAAACUGAAGAAAACUUCUGCUUAAUACCCUGGAUUACCUGGAUUACCCUUGUUGAUCCUUUGAAGAGCGUGCUCCUUUAAUGUGGAACGUUUGUGGGAUGACCUGUCAUGCUGUAAAAGUAAAUAUGGGAGUCAUCCUUCUGAAUGGUAGUGGAAUUGUAUUUUACCCCCUAGGAAAACCAGCCCACAGGUCGGUUUGCUUAUCUGGUUAGGCAUCUUCAGGUAAUGGUGGUUGCAAGGAUGACUUCUCAAUUAUAUAUGCUAGAUCUUUGUGCUUCCUAGUAGCUCUCUAGCAGCACAUUACUGAAAUGUAGUGAGGAAUAUUUCUGUAUAAGCCAUGGAAACUAUGUAGUGUGGGGCUUAUCUUCACCCCUUUGCAAACAAACCCAGGGGACGAAUGGCACUGAGGACCAUGGAGCAGAGGCCGUGUAUGAAGAGGGUGAGGCCUGGCUGUUAAGAGAUAAGGCGCUGUCCUUAAUGGCACUAGUACCUAUUUUUUGGGAGGUGUUUUAGUCUGAGAGGAGCUGGGAUCUUUUACAAACAUCCUAAGCUCCUUCUGCUGCCUAAGAAGUAAUUUGAUACAGAUCAAUUCCUCGGAUACUGCCAAAAAGUUACUUUCCAGUGGGAUAAGCUGCCGGAUCACUGUAGCUGCAUAAAGAGAUUCUGGCAGAGGAGGGAAUGGUGUGAAAAUGACGAAUAAAAACAGCUAAGGCAGAAUGAAGAAUGCAGUGUGGGUUUUUGUUGGGUUUUUGUUGUUUUUUCUUCAUGUAUUCGUGCUAGCUUGAAGUAUUCAUCCCACUACAGCCUUAACAGAUCUUUCUUGUUGCUUUGGCAUCUACAGAGAAGAACAGGCUGUUUACCUUCAGGAGGAUUUUUCCAGUAGUGCUGCUUUUGUUCUCUGCUUCUUUACAUUCUGAGUUCGUUUAACGUGAGGCCAGUUAAAACUAUCUGUUAUGGCUCUGACUUAAAACCAGCAAGAGAACGGAAACCCUGCCAGUGGGCUUGCUUGGGUCCUGGCCCCGGCUUGCAGACACGUGCAUCGGUCUGCAGGCGCGUAUUCCUCUGCAGUCAGUGGAGAUGUCUGUGUUUGUCAAAUUAAACCCAGGCAAGUAAGCAGAGGUGCAGACCCUUUGGUUUCCUUUGGCAAACGACUUGGAUUUUAUGGUGCGUUUCAACUGGAAGCGAUGCUCUGACCCCCGCUUUUGAUGAAGUAACUGCGUCGUGCCUCCUGCCGGCUCAGCCCUAGCGCCCUGCUCACCUCUCAGCUUGCUAACGCCGGUUUUGAAGUUGCCGUCGGGAGCGCAGAACAGCUGGCAAGGAGAAAUGGCACUGGAGAGAGAGAAAAGCAGCAGCUACUGCUAAUGGAUUGUUUCAGAAUGGAGUGUGGGUUGUAGGAGAGUGGUGUAAAUGUCUGCCUACAUACACACGUAUCUGUGUAUACAUUACAUCUAAGCUUGCACAGUAAUUCUGACCCAGUUCUACCAACUUAAAUUCCGAAUGUGUUUUUGGCAUAAAACUUUUCACAAAUGCCCGUUAAACAUUUCUGAAGUUGAGUCGGUUAAUAUUCUACAGAUGUUUCUCUUCCUGGAAACCCUGUAAGAGUCAGCUGCAGUAUUUGUUUAAAGGUACUCGGUGUUAUGCUCUCAGUCAUUGCUCUGUGUGGAAAUUGCUCUCUGGUGAAUUCCAACAUCUGAAGAACAAUGUAUGUUUUACAUUAGGAGAGCCAUUUAGCUUUUUUUCUCCCUCUUGGAAGGGACUCAGGUAUCCAGCAGGCACCGAAUGAGCUCUCACUCUGCGGUUAUGCUUCUGAGGAUGAUGCACGCCUUCCAUUUUGGGUCAGCCGAUAAUUAUGGUGGAUUCUUCAUUUUGACAAAAGCGAGGCUUUUUAGUUACACUUACAGAGCGUCCGCCAAGGGAGGAAUUUAUUUCAGAGCAAAUAGUGGGAAAUUUUGCCUCCUACCUGAGGAAACCUUCAGACUGUCAGCUUUUGCAGUUUAGCCAGCCAGGUACGAGCAUUAGAAGAGCAGCAGUCCCUGCACCAUACGAAAUCCAAACAAGAAGGGAGUUAGAGAUGAGACGUGCCUUUACAGACGAAGGGUGGCAAAUAUGAAUGCUCCCUGUAUUAGAUUUCCUGCAGGAAGCCCUGCAGGACUGCACCACCUACAAAAUCACAGCCUUCGAGUAGCUAAGUGCCCGUUAGGUGCAAACUGGGAAUCCUGGCUGGAGGUGGUAAAUUGCCUUAUGGGCUGCAAGCAGAAAUACAAGUAGAGCAGAAAUACAAAUACAGUUUGUUGCUGUCAAAUAUUGUAGGGGAGAAAUGUUGAUGGACGAUUUUCUGCAUGGUGAAAGCUAAAAAGAGCUUGGGAGCUGACAGGACACUGGAGUCACUUGUUUUAGUACUCAAAAGACAAUAAAUCAACGCAGAGAUAUCAGUUGUCACAUGUCCUACUUAUUUUUACAAACCUGCCUAAUAGGUGUUUUGUCUAGGCCAAGCUUCAGCCACUACCUGUUUGUUCACAGCCCAGCAGUAAAGCAGGCUAAAGUGCUUAGUCCGGUAAAACAAAGGAAGGAGGGCAGCAGCAAAACCCAAACCUUCUUUGUUUUAGGAUCAUCAUCCAGUCCAAAGUGCAAGUCCACAGGAUCUGAAUCUGUCGGAUGCUGAUUUUAGGGCACUGAGAAGGACGCCGUGCUCGUGUUGUCAGCGUUGUGCAGAAAAGAAGGGGAAGGAGCUCUUUGUCCCUUGGCAGACAGCCUUCAGCACGGUGUAGCAGAACAGCUGGGUAAUCCCAGGUGGAAAAAGGUGACUGUAGCACAAGCCUUGUGCUUGAUAAUUACAAAGAUCGAGGCUUCUUGGUGUAAUAAAAGGAUGCAGGCACCCUGUGAUGCGGAGCAGAGCAAGAGCAUGAAGUUGAAGCUAAUGCUGCAGAAAAUGUAAGGCAGUGUGAUAUAUAUAGUUCGCUGUACUCCAGCAGGGAUCCCUCUGAGAAACGUGGUUGUGUUCGUAGCCCGAGUGCCAAAGCCAUUCAACUUCGCUGUGUUUUCAUGCAUAGCAUCCACAGCAUAAAGAAGCACUGAGUGCACGGGGGAUGUAGCCAACAUUACUUAUUAAUUUAUACAGGAUCGGAGUCUUUCAUUGAUGUACUGCUGCUUACACCAGAAAUCUUCCUUUACAGAAACCCGGUGGAACAGCCCUCGAACAAAAGUAAUAAAAUGCAUGGGAGUGUAGCUCUGCUGUCACUGUGGUUUUGCUCUGCAGGAAGAAGGGAGAGGCUCAGAGCCGUGCCUUCUCUUUUAGACGUGCUCAGAGACCAACGAGGAGGGUACUGCAGGGGAGCUCACAGAAAUCCAGGCUGGUUUUCAGCCAGAUGGGUAGCAGGAAACAAAGUGCAUCCUUUGGGGGUGUGUUCAUUCCAGAAAUUGCCUGGUGGCAAAAUUAACGGGAAAAAAGGUGGCCAUGGAAGGGCAGCACUGCUGCUGGUUUCCACAGGUGCUUUUCGUUGCCAUCCUGUGGUGUAGCGAGUUCGCUCCUCGCCUGUGCCUCCAUCUCUGAUAAAAUCAGUAAGCAAGCCGAAUUAACACCAGCAGGUAACUACAGAACGUUUCACACAGACCUUGGUUAUACUUCAUACAGACCACACCACGAAAAAGAGAUGAUUCUUGCCAUUUAUGUCUCAUGGUGGCUUGCUUCUGUGCUGGGCCAGUAUGUUGCAGUACCAUAAAGUUUUUACAAAUAUUGCAUUCAACUGAGAGAGAGCAUUGCAGACAGACUUCGGAUUUUCCAUGAUAUGGAGGAGGGAGUUUCCUACACUUUGCCCAGUUCUUUUCCUUUUCCUGAAGAAAUAUCUGGAGCUCUAUCUUCCUCGGAAGAUUUAUUUUAUCCUGUGCCUCCUUGUUCUUAACAUAUCUGCAGAAAGCAAAGACCAAAAUGGAAAUACUAACGACUCUGUUCCAGUAAAGGAAAAUCAUCCCAAAGCACAGCUGUUAAAUAAAGAUCACCGAGGAAAAGGAAA